rnacentral:lncRNA from 1 species
AGGACAGGGUGUAGUAUUAAGACUUACAGCCCAGAAAUUCAUUACACACUCCUUGUAAUAUCACCAAUCUGAAACUCAGUUCAUUAAAGAACACACUCCCCAAACAGGAAAUACCCACACUCCCAAUUUAAAAAUAUUUACUCUUCUAAUUGAAAUAUUUACCUAACCUGGAAAACAGUGUGACCACUUUAAAUUAGCCAUAUCUAUUCUUUACUGAACAUCAAUAGGGACACAGAAUUUUUUUUAAACUAGAUGAAAGCAAAACCACA